rfam:Trichobilharzia regenti genome assembly, scaffold: TRE_contig0008601
GUGCAGUUGACGAGUCCCAAACAGGAUGAAAUACUCAUCCUGGAU